UUGUCUGCGGUGAUGAAGCAAUUUGUGGACUAGAGUUUCUGAUCCUUGGGGGAUUCAAACCUCUGAUUGGUUGAAGACAAACCCUUGGCUGUCUGAGCACACUC
rfam:Capsicum annuum cultivar Zunla-1 chromosome 5, whole genome shotgun sequence